rnacentral:misc_RNA from 1 species
AUCAAAUGGGAACUUAUUAAUACCAUAUCUCCCAAUGAGAAUUAAGCAACAACUAAACCACCCACAUCCCAUCUCUUAAUUAUACUUUGAUUUAUCUUUUCCCUCGUCAUCCAUGGCAGCAGACCAGAGGCCAUUUGCUCGCUUUCGACUUCCUUGGCUAACAGCACCCAUUGCUCGCCCUGCUGCUGAACCCCAACCCACUCGUCCUCCAGUUGAAAUAAUUCAAGCCCCUACCCAGCCAACCACCACCGUACCUGCUCAGCGUCCACCAUUUCGACCUGCAGGGAUAGCCCCA